rfam:Salmo salar isolate Sally breed double haploid chromosome ssa29, whole genome shotgun sequence.
UGGCUCAGUUGGUAGAGCAUGGCACUCACAACGCCAGGGUUGUGGGUUUGAUCCCCAC